ensembl:lncRNA
CUCUCUUUCAUUACAGACCACAUGAAAGCCAAAACAAUCCCAGGCUAUCAGGCACAGAAACCUUCACAAGGACACCGACAUCCCGCACCGGGGUAGGAGAGGAGUGCGGGGCCGGAGCUGCUGGCGUGCCAUAAGGAAGCGAUUGAAGCUUUCACAAUCUGUUUAACCAGUGACAUAUGUUUCCUGUAGGCACGGCGGUGUGCUGCGUGCUGAGGUAUGGCCACGCAUCCCCACCAGUCCCUGCAUGUUUCUUCCAUUGGGCUGCUCGGGGGAGGGGGGGGGUGGUCAUCAAGAAAAGCACCCAGAGAGGCAAACCUACCUCAGAACAUCAUGUCCUCACUGGGAUGGGGACAGCUGGAUACCAGGUGGCUGGGAGCGCUGGAGAUGCUGUGAGCAAGGCAGACUGGAUUAAACCCUACAGCAGCAGGAUUUGGAUGUUGUUUGGGGUUUGGAAACAUUGUAGAGGUGGAGCAGCUCCCCGUGUUGCUAUGCAGGAGGAAUUGUCAAGUCACUGUUGGAGGCAGCAGGAAAGCAGUGCUGCAGCAUCCUGCCCCAAAUUGGUCAUUGCAGCCAUGCAGAGGAUGCAAGACUCAGGGUGAGCAGUGUGGGGGCCCUGAAGGCCACUGGGGCUUCCCCUGCCCCAUGCAGCCUGGACUCCAGACAGGAUGAGCCCAGAGAUGGUUUGGAGAUGGAGGUUGUAAACUUGGUAUGAGAACACAGGAGAAUUGAGUGGAGGUUUUACAGAUGAGCCAAAAGCUUCCUCUGUCAUUCUGCAGGGCCAGGGUUUCCUCCACACUAGCAACCUGCAAAGCCCACAGGAAAGGGGGAGAUGGGAACAGGGAUUCCCAACCUUUAAUGGGGAUUUUGGCUCUGUGCUCCCAGACAGCUUCCAGGCACAUGGGGACAUGGCAGCACUGGGUCACCAGUGCUUGAUCUGGGGUAACAGAUGUCCCAUUGCUGUGCUCGUGAGCAGAUAGCUGGGUUUACCACGCCUAACCCCUCUGCUUCACUCCAGACACAGACCUCCUUUGUGCACUGCAAAUCAGCACUGCUCUCUCUGAGGUUUUGGCCUCAGCCAGGUGCCUAGAGCACGUUGCGCUGAGGCUGUGCGUGGGGGGAGGCAGUGGGGCUGGAGCAGGUGAUCAUCAUCUCCAGCUUCAGAAAAAAGGCUCUGGCUCCUGAGCAGGGCAGCAGCAGGUUCCUGUGCACAGAGCUGCACCACUGCCACCUGGAAGGGGUCGGGAGCGGAAGCACCGCCGGGCAGAUUUGGCAGUGAGCUGUGCAGAUCAUUUCCUUUGAUAUACUUUCUUUUCUUUUUCUUUUUCUUUCUUUUUUUCCCUUUCCAUGUCAACUUUCCUACCUCAGGCUCCAUACAGUGUGAAGGCUUCCUGUUACCUGGAAAUGACUGUGGGGUGACAGCGUGGGGGGCAGAGGGGCUGGGAGGUGGGUCUCACCCCUGCUCUUUGCCUUGCACCAGGGCAGCGGGAGCAGUCCCUGUGCCUGACCCUAUAGGAGCCCUGUACCCACAAAGGUGACAGGGGACUUCUGUUUUGCUGACGUAUUCCCAUCUGCUUGUCCAUGCCUGGUGUACUGCAGGGCAGGGGGCAGGUGAGGCUGGGGCUGAAGCCCCUACAUGGCUCCAGAUGAGCGCUGAGCUUUGGGUACAGUGGGGACAGAAGCUUGUGCCCCAGUGCUGAGCUACUGAUGGUGCAUCCCCAGCAAGCCCUGCUUGUUACUCUAUUAAAUUUCCAUUUUGACGUGAAAAGAGCUGGUUUUAUGGUACCUCUGACUGUGUUAUUUACACAGUCAUGCACACAAUCCCUGCUGAAAAUCACAUUACUCACUGCUUCGGCAGCCCUUUGUCUGCAGGUAUCGCCUGGAGGUGACACCAUCUCCCAGUCCGAGCAGUGGCACCCAAGCAGGCUCAGGCAGGGAGCGACCUACAGGGCUGCUCACCUUCUCAGGUCCCAGCCGGGUGAUCAGGGCUGGCAAACCCAUCCUGAAGUGCCCCAGCUCCGGGUGACCCCAUCUCCCCUCACACACCCCACUGCGUGGUGGCUGAUGCACAUCGCAGGGCAGAGACAACCGUUGGCCACGCUCAAUGGUGCUUUGUUCUCAGCCCAGGAAGCAAUGAAAAUCCUCCCGCUUUGAAGCCUGAGGAGGCCUUUUUAUUACAUCCAGGGCUCCUGGAACAGGGAACCGUGAGUGCUUCCCCAUAGCGCGAUGAAAAUCUCUCCUGCCUGAGACCACAGCAACUCGUUACACAUGGGAGCGGUCAGGCUGGUGAACAGUGCCGUGCACACAGCUGGGACAUGGAAGAGCCAUGGUACAAUGCUGUUGACCUCACACCCUCUGUGCCUGCAGAAAACCAUCCCAUUUCUGGGGCUGAGAAGCUCCUAAGCAGCGAGGCGGCCCUAAUAAUUCCACUUAAUCUUCCCCCAUAAAUCACUCCUCCCCUCCCCUGCAGUCUAUUGGCAUCAUCUGAAGCUAUUAGCUAAUUUGAAGCCAGGAGUUCACACGUUGCCUGGUCCCAUCCCGUCUCCCUGCAGCACUCCAGUUGAGAUCAGCUGAAACCUGAUGACAACGCCUGACAUGUCUGCAGUGCCCGCGUCCCUGCUGCUCACCCCCACUUCGCUAAUGAGCUUUGCUCAGAGGUGUGCUUUGCUCAAAGCCCCCAACCCCACUGAGCUGCUGGGGAAUGCAGCCAUGCCAAUGGGUCCUCUCCAGCCCUGAGGACGGGUCCUGAUAGGGAGAGCGGGACGCAGCCAUGUCACACCCCGAGGCAGUUAUGAAUGUCAUUCCCCAAUCCACUCAGGAGCCGGCAAUUUUCUGGCCGAGGUGGGAAGCUGCCGACAUCGUAUGAUACACGGCGAGAUUGAUUGUAUUUACUUACCCUUUAACCUAAUAAAGAAAAAUAAUGUUC